rnacentral:lncRNA from 1 species
UGUCAAAUAUUCUCUUAUUAAGCUUUUAAUUUUAACAAUUAUAACCUCUAAAUUUUAUCAAAUAGUUUAAUUGACCUUCUAUUCAAGCAAAAUUAUUAUUUAAAUAGUUAUACUGACUGCAUAUCUUAUCGAUGAUCUGGUAAAAUUUCUUGUUGGUCUUUUAAUCGGGUUUUGAAUCGUCCAUGAUAGGCAUAUCUGAUCUGACCCAUU